GGUACGCGAGCUGGGUUCAGAACGUCGUGAGACAGUUCGGUCCCUAUCCGUCGUGGGCGUAGGAAAUUUGAGAGGAGCUGUCCUUAGUACGAGAGGACCGGGAUGGACAUACCUCUGGUGUACCAGUUGUCGUGCCAACGGCAUAGCUGGGUAGCUAUGUGUGGACGGGAUAAGUGCUGAAAGCAUCUAAGCAUGAAGCCCCCCUCAAGAUGAGAUUUCCCAACUUCGGUUAUAAGAUCCCUUAAAGAUGAUGAGGUUAAUAGGUUCGAGGUGGAAGCAUGGUGACAUGUGGAGCUGACGAAUACUAAUCGAUCGAAGACUUAAUCAA
rnacentral:rRNA from 1 species